AGUAGUUUGAUCAGUGGCUCAGGACGACGCUGGCGGCGUGCCUAACACAUGCAAGUCGAACGAAGCUCCCAAAGCAAGACUUCGGUCAAGUAGAGGGAUGACUUAGUGGCGGACGGGUGAGUAACGCGUGAGCAACCUGCCCUUCAGGAGGGGGACAACAGUUGGAAACGACUGCUAAUACCGCAUAACAUAGGGAGAUGGCAUCAUUUCCUUAUCAAAGAAUUAUCGCUGAAGGAUGGGCUCGCGUCUGAUUAGCUAGAUGGUGGGGUAAAGGCCUACCAUGGCGAUGAUCAGUAGCCGGACUGAGAGGUUGAACGGCCACAUUGGGACUGAGAUACGGCCCAGACUCC
rnacentral:rRNA from 1 species